rnacentral:lncRNA from 1 species
AAAGAAAGAGUAUUUAAGAAAAGAAAGAGUAUUCAAUUUAAGUAAAGAAAGAGUAUUAAUUUUGGGAGAAGUAAAGAAAUAUAACAAAAAGGGGAGAAAUAAAGAUAAAAGUUAUGUAAAGAAAAGAGAAAUAAAUGGGCAAACAAAUUGAAAAUCAUAUAAGAAAGCUUAUACAUCUAAGGGGGAGCAAUUUGUAACAAUGAAAUUGACUAAAUCAAAAAUUUCUAUCAAAGCUCAGAAUUUGGCACGCACCUCUCGCACCCCGAUACAUAACCUGAAACUCAGAGUUUAUCUCCAAUUUUUGAAGUUUCAUUGCUAAUGAAUUAUAAAUAAAAGAGGAAGCAAUUCAAAAAGUCAAAUUGGCAACAUUUGAAUGAUAUAGGGGGAGAUUUCACAAGUAUAUAUGAAAAGCUGAAAUUCAGCAAUUUAAUCCCUUUUAUAAACUGAUUUUAAAACAAGUAUCAAUAGACUUAUACUCUUUAUUUUGUAAUCAUCAAAAAGGGGGAGAUUGAAGAUGAUAGUGUUAUUUUGAUGAUUAACAAGCAAUUAUCUAGAGUAUGCUAUAAGUUAAAUUGAUACUUCAUUUAUAAGUUCAUUACUCUC